rnacentral:lncRNA from 10 species
GCAGGCCUGUCCCUUUGCUUUCUUAAAACUGCGCACCGUCUGAGGCCACUUCGAGCCUACUGGAUCCCUGGUUCCAACCCAGUAGGAUCACAGAAGCAGGGCCAGCUGCCAGGAGAAAAAGUUGUUCUCUUCUACCAAAUUUUCCUGCCAUCAAAUGCUCAUUGAGUGACAAUAGAGAAAGCACCAUCAUCCUGAAGCAUCAGAUUGGGAGAAAAGUCCGCUCUCGAGAGCAUCAACUAUGUAGAAAGGGGACCAGCUUCUGCAAAAGACUUGAGACAGCUCACAAUGAAGUACUCUGUAUUAGGCAGGGUAAUAUUGAUUGCAAGUGACAGAAACCCAAUCAGAAACUCACUGGAGUCAUGAGGAACACUUAUUGGCUCAGUAAAGGCAAAAUAGACCUUCAGAGAAAUAAAGUCUGGGAAAUUGACUAGAUCCUCACUGAAAGAACUACUAAAGGAUGUACUUAUGGAAGAAGAAAAUUACAAAGUGAAAGAACUGGGAUGCAAGAAGUAAUGGUGAGCAUGGAAUUUGGCAAAGAUUCAAGUAAAACAAAGCAAGGACUGAGUAUAUAAAAUCAUAAUCAUAACAAAUUUUGACUAUUAUAUGUAACAGCCAAUCUCUUAACUGG